rnacentral:rRNA from 1 species
AACGAACACUGGCGGCAGGCUUAACACAUGCAAGUCGAACGCCCCGCAAGGGGAGUGGCGCACGGGUGAGUAACGCGUGGGAAUAUGCCCUUCGGUUCGGAAUAACACGGGGAAACUUGUGCUAAUACCGGAUACGAUCUACGGAUGAAAGAUUUAUCGCCGAGGGAGUAGCCCGCGUAGGAUUAGCUAGUUGGUGAGGUAAUGGCUCACCAAGGCGACGAUCCUUAGCUGGUCUGAGAGGAUGAUCAGCCACACUGGGACUGAGACACGGCCCAGACUCCUACGGGAGGCAGCAGUGGGGAAUAUUGGACAAUGGGCGAAAGCCUGAUCCAGCCAUGCCGCGUGAGUGAUGAAGGCCUUAGGGUUGUAAAGCUCUUUCGCCAGGGAAGAUAAUGACGGUACCUGGAAAAGAAGACCUCGGCUAACUCCGUGCCAGCAGCCGCGGUAAU